rnacentral:rRNA from 1 species
UCUAGUGACCAUAGCGAGCGUGUACCACCUGAUCCCAUCUCGAACUCAGAAGUGAAACCGCUUAGCGCCGAUGAUAGUGUGGAUUCCCAUGUGAAAGUAGGACAUCGCUAGAU